UUUAUGACUGAACGCCUCUAAGUCAGAAUCCCCCCUAAACGUAACGAUACCGCAGCGCCGCGGGAACCCGAUUGGCCUGGAAUAGUCGGCCCGCAAGGGCCGGCGUGGAGAGCCAUCCGCGAUGGGGUCGGGGUGCGGCCGUAAGAGCGCCGCCCCUCUCCCGACACGCAUCUCAAGUUUGUGGGUGACCUGGUGCUAAAUGACUCGUAGACGACCUGAUUCUGGGUCGGGGUGUCGUGCGUGGCAGAGCAGCUCACUCGCUGCGAUCUAUUGAAAGUCA
rnacentral:rRNA from 2 species